GAGUUUGAUCCUGGCUCAGAACGAACGCUGGCGGCAGGCUUAACACAUGCAAGUCGAGCGCGUAGCAAUACGAGCGGCAGACGGGUGAGUAACGCGUGGGAAUCUACCCGGAACUACGGAAUAACAUGAAGAAAUUUAUGCUAAUACCGUAUACGCCCUUUUGGGGAAAGAUUUAUUGGUUUCGGAUGAGCCCGCGUUGGAUUAGCUUGUUGGUAGGGUAAUGGCCUACCAAGGCGACGAUCCAUAGCUGGUCUGAGAGGAUGAUCAGCCACACUGGGACUGAGACACGGCCCAGACUCCUACGGGAGGCAGCAGUGGGGAAUAUUGGACAAUGGGCGCAAGCCUGAUCCAGCCAUGCCGCGUGAGUGAUGAAGGCCUUAGGGUUGUAAAGCUCUUUCACCGGUGAAGAUAAUGACGGUAACCGGAGAAGAAGCCCCGGCUAACUUCGUGCCAGCAGCCGCGGUAAUACGAAGGGGGCUAGCGUUGUUCGGAUUUACUGGGCGUAAAGCGCACGCAGGCGGAUAUUUAAGUCAGAGGUGAAAUCCCGGGGCUCAACCCUGGAAUUGCCUUUGAUACUGGGUAUCUGGAGUACAGAAGANGUAAGUGGAAUUCCGAGUGUAGAGGAGAAAUUCGUAGAUAUUCNGAGGAACACCAGUGGCGNA
rnacentral:rRNA from 1 species